rnacentral:rRNA from 1 species
AGAGUUUGAUCCUGGCUCAGGACGAACGCUGGCGGCAUGCCUAAUACAUGCAAGUCGAACGGCACCGUAAGGUGCAGUGGCGGACGGGUGAGUAACGCGUGGNNNNNNNNNNNNNNNNNNNNNNNNNNNNNNNNNNNNNNNNNNNNNNNNNNNNNNNNNNNNNNNNUAACGCGUGGGCAACCUGCCCCAAAGACCGGGAUAACACCUCGAAAGGGGUGCUAAUACCGGGUGUGAUCUAGAUACCGCAUGGUAUUUAGAAGAAAGGCGUAAGCCGCUUUGGGAUGGGCCCGCGUCUGAUUAGCUAGUUGGUGGGGUAACGGCCUACCAAGGCGACGAUCAGUAGCCGACCUGAGAGGGUGAACGGCCACACUGGGACUGAGACACGGCCCAGACUCCUACGGGAGGCAGCAGUCGGGAAUAUUGGUCAAUGGGGGAAACCCUGAACCAGCAAUGCCGCGUGAGUGACGAAGGUCUUCGGAUCGUAAAGCUCUGUCUUCAGGGAAGAACAAGUGACGGUACCCAAGGAGGAAGCCCCGGCUAACUACGUGCCAGCAGCCGCGGUAAUACGUAGGGGGCGAGCGUUGUCCGGAAUUACUGGGCGUAAAGGGCGAGUAGGCGGUUUUACAAGUCAGAUGUGAAAUACCAGGGCUUAACCCUGGAGCUGCAUUUGAAACUGUAUAACUUGAGUACAGGAGAGGAAAGUGGAAUCCCCAGUGUAGCGGUGAAAUGCGUAGAUAUUGGGGGGAACACCAGUGGCGAAGGCGACUUUCUGGACUGUAACUGACGCUGAGGCGCGAAAGCGUGGGGAGCAAACAGGAUUAGAUACCCUGGUAGUCCACGCCGUAAACGAUGAGUGCUAGGUGUAGAGGGUAUCGACCCCUUCUGUGCCGCAGUUAACACAAUAAGCACUCCGCCUGGGGAGUACGGUCGCAAGACUGAAACUCAAAGGAAUUGACGGGGGCCCGCACAAGCAGCGGAGCAUGUGGUUUAAUUCGACGCAACGCGAAGAACCUUACCAGGACUUGACAUCCCUCGCUAUUUACUGAAAGGUAGAGUUCCCUUCGGGGACGAGGAGACAGGUGGUGCACGGUUGUCGUCAGCUCGUGUCGUGAGAUGUUGGGUUAAGUCCCGCAACGAGCGCAACCCUUGUCCUUAGUUGCCAGCAUGAAGUCGGGCACUCUAGGGAGACUGCCGGUGAUAAACCGGAGGAAGGUGGGGAUGACGUCAAAUCAUCAUGCCCCUUAUGUCCUGGGCUACACACGUGCUACAAUGGGCUGAACAGAGGGAAGCGAGACCGCGAGGUGGAGCCAAUCCCAUAAAACAGCUCUCAGUUCAGAUCGUAGGCUGCAACUCGCCUACGUGAAGAUGGAGUUGCUAGUAAUCGCGGAUCAGCAUGCCGCGGUGAAUGCGUUCCCGGGCCUUGUACACACCGCCCGUCACACCGCGGGAGUUGG